UGUGAAUGAUGACAAAUCUUUCCCUGACAACACUGAGGGCACAAACUGAUUUAAUGAGCCUGACGC
rnacentral:snoRNA from 1 species